rnacentral:rRNA from 1 species
AGGUAAGCUACUAAGAGCGAAUGGUGGAUGCCUUGACUGGUAAAGGCGAUGAAGGACGUACUAGACUGCGAUAAGCUACGGGGAGCUGUCAAGAAGCUUUGAUCCGUAGAUUUCCGAAUGGGGCAACCCAAUGUAUAGAGAUAUACAUUACCUAUAUAGGAGCAAACGAGGGGAAUUGAAACAUCUUAGUACCCUCAGGAAAAGAAAUCAAUAGAGAUUGCGUCAGUAGCGGCGAGCGAAAGCGCAAGAGGGCAAACCCAGUGCUUGCACUGGGGGUUGUAGGACUGCAAUGUGCAAGAGGUGAGUUUAGCAGAACAUUCUGGAAAGUAUAGCCAUAGAGGGUGAUAGUCCCGUAUGCGAAAAACAAACCUUAGCUAGCAGUAUCCUGAGUAGGGCGGGACACGAGAAAUCCUGUCUGAAGCUGGGUCGACCACGAUCCAACCCUAAAUACUAAUACCAGAUCGAUAGUGCACAAGUACCGUGAGGGAAAGGUGAAAAGAACUGAGGUGAUCAGAGUGAAAUAGAACCUGAAACCAUUUGCUUACAAUCAUUCAGAGCCCUAUGUAGCAAUACAGGGUGAUGGACUGCCUUUUGCAUAAUGAGCCUGCGAGUUGUGGUGUCUGGCAAGGUUAAGCAAACGCGAAGCCGUAGCGAAAGCGAGUCUGAAUAGGGCGCUUAGUCAGAUGCUGCAGACCCGAAACGAAGUGAUCUAUCCAUGAGCAAGUUGAAGCUAGUGUAAGAACUAGUGGAGGACUGAACCCAUAGGCGUUGAAAAGCCCCGGGAUGACUUGUGGAUAGGGGUGAAAGGCCAAUCAAACUUCGUGAUAGCUGGUUCUCUCCGAAA